rnacentral:rRNA from 1 species
UGGGGAAUAUUGGACAAUGGGCGCAAGCCUGAUCCAGCAAUGCCGCGUGUGUGAAGAAGGCCUUCGGGUUGUAAAGCACUGUUAUCAGGAGCGAAAUCUGCAUGCUUAAUACGUGUGCAGUCUGACGGUACCUGAGGAAUAAGCACCGGCUAACUCCGUGCCAGCAGCCGCGGUAAUACGGAGGGUGCAAGCGUUAAUCGGAAUUACUGGGCGUAAAGCGUGCGCAGGCGGUUUGUUAAGUCUGUUGUGAAAUCCCCGAGCUCAACUUGGGAAUUGCAAUGGAUACUGGCAGGCUGGAGUACGGUAGAGGAAGGUGGAAUUCCCGGUGUAGCAGUGAAAUGCGUAGAGAUCGGGAGGAACACCAGUGGCGAAGGCGGCCUUCUGGACCAGUACUGACGCUCAUGCACGAAAGCGUGGGGAGCAAAC